UAAUACUACACUCUAUUUUCGGGUUGGAUAUUCAGAAUAUGGCCUUUUUCCGAUUAUAGCAUUUUCCAAUUAAGAC